rnacentral:lncRNA from 1 species
GAAUCAAAACCAACAGUUAGCAGGAUCCAUACUGGGGAAAAACUGGCUGGGCAUCACAGUCAUUCCAUGCACCAAGUGGCAGAUUUGGGGGACUAGCCAGUGCAAAGUACCAGGAGAAGAGACACAGCUUAACAACAUGAUAAGAAACAAAAAGAAAACACACAUCAACAGGCCACACCCUGGAGAUUUGAUGCACUGAAGCUUUCAGAAGUCUUGCAUGCUGUUUCCACUGGAGAACUGAUUGUGUCACAUUGCCAUGAUUCAUCCAGUGUCUGCCUUCCCUUAUACUCUGGGCAGAGAUGAACCCUUCUUUGCCAUCUCUCCAGCCGCAUAAAGUCACUGAAGCAUUAUAUUGGCUCAGUCAUUGUGGGUUGAUGAAUCCAGUGAGCACUUGAGAAGGUCCAUUUUCAAAAUAUCUCACAGGACAACUUGAUGGAAAAUAAAAAUAAUUCUUUUGUGAAAUUUCAUUUCUAUAAGCAGCA